rnacentral:rRNA from 1 species
AGGCGAUGAAGGACGUAUUAACUUGCGAUAAGCCCAGAUUAGGCAGUAAAAGCCUCUUGAGUCUGGGAUUUCCGAAUGGGGAAACCCACUUGCAUAAGCAAGUAUCAUUAACUGAAUACAUAGGUUAAUGAAGCGAACCGGGGGAACUGAAACAUCUAAGUACCCCGAGGAAGAGAAAUCAACCGAGAUUCCGGUAGUAGCGGCGAGCGAAACCGGAUUAGCCCUUAAGCUAGUUCUGCGUUAGGUGAAUGUGCUGGAAAGCACAGCGAUACAGGGUGAUAGCCCCGUAACCAAAAAUGCAUUAAUAGUGAAAUCGAGUA